rnacentral:rRNA from 1 species
ACUUGUUCUUUAAAUGAGGACUAGUAUGAAUGGCACCACGAGGGUUACACUGUCUCCUUCCUCUAAUCAGUGAAACUAAUCUCCCCGUGAAGAAGCGGGGAUAAAACUAUAAGACGAGAAGACCCUAUGGAGCUUUAAACACAGUAACAAUUGCCCUGACCCUAUCUCCAGCCCCCGGGCACAAUCAUUUACUCAGGCACCUUGAUUACAAGUUUUAGGUUGGGGUGACCGCGGAGCAAAAAAUAACCUCCACAGUGAAAAAGGACUUUCCCCUAAACCCAGGGCCACAGCCCCAAGAAUCAAAAAAUUGACACCCGUUGACCCAUUUUUUAUGACCAACGAACCAAGUUACCCUAGGGAUAACAGCGCAAUCCACUUCAAGAGCUCCUAUCGACAAGUGGGUUUACG